AUGCACAGAGAACACCCAGGGGUGCUACUGUAGCUCCCCCUGCUCUUGUAUCUGUGCUACAGUAACUCUGAUCUGUACCUCUGCAUUAGAGGAGCUCCUUCCUCCCCUACAUGUAUUCAGCGGAUCAGAACAAAC